AGGACGAACGCUGGCGGCGUGCUUAACACAUGCAAGUCGAGCGAGGCCCUCUCUUCGGAGAGGUGCCCUAGCGGCGAACGGGUGAGUAACACGUGGGCAACCUGCCCCUAGCACUGGGAUAAGCCCGGGAAACCGGGUCUAAUACCGGAUAUGACCUUCAAGGGCAUCCUCGAAGGUGUAAAGGAUUCUGGCUAGGGAUGGGCCCGCGGCCUAUCAGCUUGUUGGUGGGGUAAUGGCCCACCAAGGCAACGACGGGUAGCCGGCCUGAGAGGGCGACCGGCCACACUGGGACUGAGACACGGCCCAGACUCCUACGGGAGGCAGCAGUGGGGAAUAUUGCACAAUGGGCGAAAGCCUGAUGCAGCGACGCCGCGUGAGGGAUGACGGCCUCGGUUGUAACCUCUUUCAGCUCCGACGAAGCGAAAGUGACGGUAGGAGCAGAAGAAGCACCGGCCAACUACGCGCCAGCAGCCGC
rnacentral:rRNA from 1 species